rnacentral:rRNA from 1 species
AGUGAACGCUGGCGGUAGGCCUAACACAUGCAAUUCGAACGGCAGCACAUUAAGAGCUUGCUCUUACGGGUGGCGAGUGGCUGACGGGUGAGGAAUACAUCUGAAUCUACUUUUUCGUGGGGGAUAACGUAGGGAAACUUACGCUAAUACCGCAUACGACCUACGUGUGAAAGCAGGGGAUCUUCGGACCUUGCGCGAUUGAAUGAGCCGAUGUCGGAUUAUCUAGUUGGCGGGGUAAUGGCCCACCAAGGCGACGAUCCGUAGCUGGUCUGAGAGGAUGAUAAGCCACACUGGAACUGAGACACGGUCCAGACGCCUACGGGAGGCAGCAGUGGGGAAUAGUGGACAAUGGGCGCAAGCAUGAUACAGCCAGACCGCGUGGGUGAAGAAGGCCUUCGGGUUGUAAAGACCUUUUGUUGGGAAAGAAAAGCAGCAGGUUAAUACCCCGCUGUUCUGACGGUACCCAAAGAAUAAGCACCGGCUAACUUCGUG